rnacentral:tRNA from 1 species
GCGGUUGUAGUUCAGCUGGUUAGAAUGUCGCCCUGUCACGGCGAAGGUCGCGAGUUCGAGUCUCGUCAACCGCGCCA